UUGAACGCUGGCGGAAUGCUUUACACAUGCAAGUCGGGCGGCAGCGCGGGGGCAACCCUGGCGGCGAGCGGCGAACGGGUGAGUAACAUAUCGGAACGUACCCAGACGUGGGGGACAACUAGUCGAAAGACUAGCUAAUACCGCAUACGUCCUGAGGGAGAAAGCGGGGGAUCGCAAGACCUCGCGCGUUUGGAGCGGCCGAUAUCUGAUUAGCUAGUUGGUGGGGUAAAGGCUCACCAAGGCGACGAUCAGUAGCUGGUCUGAGAGGACGACCAGCCACACUGGGACUGAGACACGGCCCAGACUCCUACGGGAGGCAGCAGUGGGGAAUUUUGGACAAUGGGGGCAACCCUGAUCCAGCCAUUCCGCGUGAGUGAAGAAGGCCUUCGGGUUGUAAAGCUCUUUCGGUGGGAACGAAACGGCCCUUGUUAAUAGCGAGGGUUAAUGACGGUACCCAAAGAAGAAGCACCGGCUAACUACGU
rnacentral:rRNA from 1 species